CAGAUUAAUGGCCAUCCCAUCCCACCUGGCCUACUGGGCUUUCUGGGGAAUCCCCCUCUGAACUGGAGCCUGCAGGAACAGAGGGUUUCAGCUCUAAAGAGGAGCAGAGUGCCUAAAGGCCCAGCCUCGUUGUGCUGAGGACUCUGCAGACACAAAAUGAAGGCACAGCCCCUGCCUUGAAGCACAGCCCAGAGCAUCCUCCAGCAGCUCCUGCUCUGCACUGGUGGAAUCUCCUCUUUAAUGGCACCAGGAAGAAGCAGCAGGAAACACAGAGUGAGGUUCUUCCACAUGAGCUGCUGCCAGACCAUCACCUACUGUGUCUGGAUAAUCCCCAGGUCCCCAGAAACCUGUUCCCUCAGACCAGACAGGAUCUGAGCCUGGGCCAGCAGGAAUCUUUUACUGGCUGCUGCCUUUGUGCUUUGGAGCCCCGCAGAAGGGUUUGUGUCUCCCCAUCACGUGAGGCUGGAAUGAUGGGCUGAUGGUUAAGAAGCUGAGCUACGUUUCAGAAAGGAGGGGACUAAUCUGCAUUUGAUGGCUUUUCUUUGGCACACUCUCAGCAAGCUCUUGCAGAACUUCCCAGCAGAGAAAGUCCCUGCACUGUGACAGCCCUGAGCAGUCCUGGCUUGAUGACAGCCAGGUCUGGUGGCUCCAGCAUGGGGACUUUUCCACUGGUGUUGACAAUAACAAUGUGCUUCCCACUCCAUU